GCCUGCGUGGCUCAGUCGGUUAAGCGUCCGAUUUCAACUCAGGUCACGAUCUCGCAGUCCGUGGGUUCGAGCCCCGCAUCGGGCU
rnacentral:tRNA from 1 species